UACGUACGCCCCAACAUACAGAACAUCUCCGAUUCUCACAUUUACUUUGGGACAAUGGUACAGCAAAAUGAAUUCAAGGAAAAAAAAAAAAAGGACAAAAGGAACUAGACACAGCUUCCUGACCAAGGUCCCCAAAGGUCAUAUGCCUCUCAGAGCUAAGUCAGACUAGGAACAGGAGACCUGCAGCCUCCUGCACAGGGACCCCCAUUGACCCAGGAAGGCAGGGGACUUCACACCAUGCUCACAGCAGCCAGACGAUUCUGAAGGUUCAGCUGCUGGCCAAGGAUGCUGCGAGGACAGUAAGACCACGUCCCUGUUCCCACGAAUAAGGAGGCUCUCCCCAACAUCUGCUUUUCCCAGUGCCCUCAGACCUCCUGGCUUCGGGGUCCUUGUUUGUGGCAGUGGCAGUGGCUGCCAGCCCUGGAGGCCUAGAGGCGUUGCGCCUAGCCGGCUGUGCUGGAGGGCGUUGCCUUACCUGAGAGGUCCUCACGGGCGUUCUGGUGCAAGUAGCUCUGCUCCAGCGAGUAGGAGGACAUACUGGAGUGCAGGCCUGCAGAGGCUGCGGGGUUGCUGCUCGGCGUCAGAGCAGGCGGCUGCUUGAGAGGAAGAGGUAGAAGUCAUCCUUGCUCUUUGAAACUAAGAAAACUGGAGUCAUUGGAAGAUUGAAAGGCAACUCUAAGGCCAGUGCAGUUUCACACUGUCAUUAAUCCUGGGGAAUCUGGAAAGAGAGCAGCAUGAUGGAAGAUAGGAUGCAAAUUUUAGAUCCAUGCUUCUCCCUGGACCAGUGACAGUCUUCAGGGAAAAGACACUUAUAGAUUAUCUAUGCCAAUCAUGGGCAAGUGCGGUGGAGCUGAUUUGGGCUACUCAGGACUUACCUGUGAAGUGAAAACCUGAAAACAACCUGGUAACAAGAAGAACAUUCAUACCGUGGAAUACUGUGAAACUACUCAGAAGAAUGAGUUUUCCUCUUGACCUGGAGGAGUGUGACAAUGUUUUAAAUUAGAAAAAUUAAAGAGAAAGAGAGAGGCCCAGAUGGUUCCUGAACUCUAGACAAGUGUAUGCACCUGCUUCCCUGACAGCCCUCCUUAGAUGUCCUGUUGGCGACUCAAACUCAGUGUGUCCAGAGCCCAACUCUGCACUGUGGGCCAAGGAGAGUGCCUAUGGCGUGCUUCUGGACUGCCAUUCGUGUUUGCCUGUGGACAGAUGUGUUCAGUACACAGACUGAGUCCUCCAAGGCUUACAAACUGGACCACUUGGACCUUGCAAUUAACAGAGAUUGCUGACUGUGUGUAACUGCCUCAAGGGGUCAAAAGUGCCUGGUUUGCACAACAUCUCCCCGGCAUUCUUACAUGUGUGGUUAUGGAAUCCAUGCAGUGAGGGGUCAGGGAGCAGAGGGAUGUGCACGCGCUUGAUCUCUUUCAUAUUGGAGCUGCUUUCUGAAACCCGGCACAGGGAAGCGUGUCAUGUACAUGGGACCUAAGAUGGUAACCUUUCACGCAGCUGGAGACUUCAGAGAGUAUUCGUACUGGGGACCAGCAGCCCGUGGUGUUGUCCCCCAGAGAGGGGGAGAGAGCUGCUGCCUGCAGUGGCUGCUCCUGCUUCACAGCCCCCUGGCUUCUGAGUCCCUCCAUCCUCUAGCUGGGCAUGAGAGUGCCAAGAGGCCCAGUAGGAGGAAAAGCCUUCAUGGAAGACAGAGGGCAAGAGCAGGCCUACCAUGCUGACUUCCUCGCCUUGUGUCUGGCUGACUGCACAGGCGUGAGGAGGUAACCAACAACAGAAACAGAUCUGGAAGAAUGAGCAAAAAAGACUUGACUGAAUCAGUUUCCCCAGAAUGGAGAGGAACUGGGGCAGCUCUGGGGGUCCACAGCAGAAGCUGGUGGACCAUUUCACCAACACCCCAGGAGCAAAUCAGUCCGACUUGUGUUUGGCCCUUGAGUCCCCCUGCUCAAGGCUUAGAGCCCUGGAGAAUUAAGGGCAAUGCCCAUACUGCAUGCCAUGGAUGACGGCUCCCCUGGAGGAAGUUGGGGUGCUGAGACUAGAGCAUGCCUCCUCCAAACAUUGACUUCCCCAGGAAAAUACCAGAUCCCCUAAAUAAGGAUUCAAGGGUGAUAGUGUCACCUUCAUUAUUCAUACAUUCCAUGGGCCUGAGAAAUUAGCUGGAAUAGACUUUGUUAAAUAGUAAUAUUUAUUCUUAUUUGAGUUGUUUUCUUUUUAGGGCUGUUUCUAGUUGCCACAUUUACCUUCCUUCGGUGUUUCCACAUUUAACAUUAGUAUUUUCAUGUUAUAUUUGUAGGAACACAUAUACAUUUGUUCCUAUGACUUGAGCCCCUUGGUGCUAAUUACAUUGUUCGUUUUAUGUUUUUGUUUUAUCUAUUAAUUUUUUUAGAGAUAAGAUGUUUUUUCUCUGUCACCCAGACUGGAGUGCAGCAGCACCACCAUAGCUCGCUGCACCUUGAACUGCUAGGCUGAAACCAUCCUCCCACAUCAGCCUCCCGAGUAGCUAGGACUACAGGCACAAGGUACCAUGCCUUGUUAAUUUUUGUUGUUCUUGUUAUUCUUUUGUAGCGAAGAUGUCUUACUAUGUUGCCAGGCUGGUGUCGAACUCCUGGUCUCAAAUCAUCUUCCUACCUUGGCCUCCCAAAGUGCUAGAAGCACCCAGGCUAUUACAUUUUUAGGUUAUAUCAACUCUGCUACACUACCCUGAGAAUUGCCUUUGGACUUUGUCCUUAAAUAAACAAAGGACUGAGCUGAUCCUAUCAGCCCAGAGCAGCAGCCUGGGAGCCACCAUGGGACCCAGGAAAGCAGCCCUAAAUGCCUUGCUUAUGAUGAAAUCUCUUGAAAAUAGCCCAACUUCUGUCUCCUGUCUGUGAAAUAAGCUUGCCUCUCUAAUUCUCAGAGCUGGGAUUUUGUGAGAAAGUUGUCAGGAGCACACUGGGGGAGAUGUAAUUAGAAAUACAUGUUAUGAUCCAUUAGAAUGACAAGUUGUAUAUGUCCAUCGUACUUUAAGGCAUCCAGUAUCGUCUGCUGUGUUUGUGAGUACUUUAAUCAUGUUAAAGAAUGCUAUCCUGAAACUGUCCCUGAGAUUCACACUUGCUCUCAAGUUGAUUGAGUUUGGGGAAAAGAAAAAAACCACAUUGGCAUGUUAUUUUUUGACAUUAUAUGAGGGUUGUCAUGGAUGUACACUGUGAGGGAGGUGUGCGAGACAUGUUCCAGCCCAACCCUUGUUCUUAUGAGGCUUGGAGGGAUGACUCGCUUCCUUAAGGUCACCCAGCUGUGUGAGUCACAGCUGGAAUUUAGACUAGGGUCUCCUUAGUGUCUUCGUUCUGAGUUCUUUCUUGAAUGGGCACCUUCUGUGAUUUGGAGCCUGACCAGACAUUUAACUACAGUGGGUAGAGCCAGCCAAAGGUUGCAAAACUUUUCUACUUCCUUAAUGGCUAGGAAUUGGUGAUCAGAAAUAACAAAUACAUGUCAAGGCUGUUAAAUUGUAUAAUAUUUUGGGUUUCAAACAGACAUGAUAAAAAGGUUCAAUUAUGGCAAGCCUUCAAAGUUGAACUGUUCCUGAAAACAGUGACAAAGAGGGUCUAGGAAUGGUAAGGGAAAUACAGUAUUAUGUUCAUGUUUAUCUUUGGCUGCAGUUGACCAAAAACGAAGGUUGAUACAAUUCUCUCUUCCAGGCUGUGUAUAAGUUGGCAAAUGACAGGAACAACAUUUGCUUCUAAUCACCCAUCCAUCUUAAUAAUGUCGAACAGAUACAGUGCGGAAACUAUUGCACAAGCACCAGCAUUUCAUGACAUUGGAAUCCUUGCCAAUUUGAAAGAGGUCCUUGAAUUGGGGAGAGUUACAUCUUUAUGUUUUUGAUCAUGAUCCUCUUGGAAGAUACUUAUUAGGGCCGUUUGUUGAUGACAACAUUAAGAAUUAACAAAUUAUCUUCUUAAAAUAUUACAAAAAUUUAAUGGUUUCAUUAGAGAACUAUAAAGUCUGUUAUUUAAGAGGGAAA